rnacentral:rRNA from 1 species
GAUGAACGCUGGCGGCGUGCCUAAUACAUGCAAGUCGAGCGAACGGACGAGAAGCUUGCUUUUCUGAUGUUAGCGGCGGACGGGUGAGUAACACGUGGAUAACCUACCUAUAAGACUGGGAUAACUUCGGGAAACCGGAGCUAAUACCGGAUAAUAUUUUGAACCGCAUGGUUCAAAAGUGAAAGACGGUCUUGCUGUCACUUAUAGAUGGAUCCACGCUGCAUUAGCUAGUUGGUAAGGUAACGGCUUACCAAGGCAACGAUGCAUAGCCGACCUGAGAGGGUGAUCGGCCACACUGGAACUGAGACACGGUCCAGACUCCUACGGGAGGCAGCAGUAGGGAAUCUUCCGCAAUGGGCAAAAGCCUGACGGAGCAACGCCGCGUGAGUGAUGAAGGUCUUCGGAUCGUAAAACUCUGUUAUUAGGGAAGAACAUAUGUGUAAGUAACUGUGCACAUCUUGACGGUACCUAAUCAGAAAGCCACGGCUAACUACGUG